GUCUGCGUGGUGAAGGCACGCGCCGACCUCGACGAUCGGCUGGCGCCGAUGGCCGGGCUGGUCGCCGCGUUCAUCUUCGCGGUGCAGAUG
rnacentral:tRNA from 1 species